rnacentral:rRNA from 1 species
CCUACGGGAGUCAGCAGUGAGGAAUCUUGGUCAAUGGACGAGAGUCUGAUCCCGCCAAGUAGCGUGGAGGAUGACUGCCCUAUGGGUUGUAAACUUCUUUUAUAAAUGAAUAAAACGAGGCACGUGUGCCUUUUUGCAUGUACUUUAUGAAUCAGGAUCGGCUAACUCCGUGCCAGAAGCCGCGGUAAUACGGUGGAUCCGAGCGUUAUCAGGAUUUAUUGGGUUGAAAGGGAGCGUAGAUGAGUUGUUACGUCAGUUGUGAAAGUGUGCGGCUCAACCGUAAAAUUGCAAUUGAUAAUGGCAGUCUUGAGUGCAGUUGAGGGAAGCGGAAUUCGUGGUGUAGCGGUGAAAUGCUU